AGAGAGCUCAUCUAUCUAAACAGACUUGUCACAUAUCCUCGACUGAGGGAUGACCAUAGAGACAUACUAGAGAGCUCAUCUAUCUAAACAGGCUUGGUUGAAAUGGCUGAUCCUCUUGUUGUGAUGUUAACAGUAACCAGCUGUAUUUGUCACAGUACUACAGAUUCCUUUAUUAAAAGAUGUGACUCUGUACCACAGUACUACAGAUUCCUUAAUUAAGAUGUGACUCUGUACCACAGUACUACAGAUUCCUUUAAGAUGUGACUCUGUACCACAGUAUUACAGAUUCCUUUAUUAAAAGAUGUGACUCUGUACCACAGUAUUACAGAUUCCUUUAUUAAAAGAUGUGACUCUGUACCACAGUACUACAGAUUCCUUUAAGAUGUGACUCUGUACCACAGUACUACAGAUUCCUUUAAGAUGUGACUCUGUACCACAGUACUACAGAUUCCUUUAAGAUGUGACUCUGUACCACAGUACUACAGAUUCCUUUAAGAUGUGACUCUGCACCACAGUACUACAGAUUCCUUUAAGAUGUGACUCUGUACCACAGUACUACAGAUUCCUUUAAGAUGUGACUCUGCACCACAGUACUACAGAUUCCUUUAAGAUGUGACUCUGUACCACAGUACUACAGAUUCCUUUAAGAUGUGACUCUGCACCACAGUACUACAGAUUCCUUUAAGAUGUGACUCUGCACCACAGUACUACAGAUUCCUUUAAGAUGUGACUCUGCACCACAGUACUACAGAUUCCUUUAAGAUGUGACUCUGCACCACAGUACUACAGAUGGAUCUUAUAUUUUCUUGUAAAUGAAUUGUUGUUGAUCAUUUUGAUCGAGACAUAAAUAUUUUAAGAACUAUUUUAAAUAUAGACUUUAUUUUCCUUUUCUAGGUAAAGUCAAGAUCUAGUUAGCGUUUACUAAUUAAACAACAUCUCUCAUCCAUUUCCUUUCAAAAAGAAAUGAAAGAAUAUCCUUUUUCAGUUUUGUUGUACACCCAUUAUACAUUAUGUAAUGGGGGAAGAAAUCACAAAACUGUUUAUCAAUUAAAAACACUAUUUUAUAUAUCCUGAAUGACACGUAUAUCUAUAGUAAUUCAUUAUAUUGUGGAGAGCAUAUUUUUUAGGAGGGUAACUGGAGUAGCGAGUUGUAGGCUGAAUAGAAACUAUUUAAGAUGCUACAGGUAGCUACAGUAUAGAAAGAGCUCAUACUGCUGAGACAACUCACAACGUCUGGGCGCGGUUACCAGAGAGGAAACUAACCGUGUUGUUGCUUCGCCUCUCUUUAAGACGUAAUGUUUCCCCUGAUCCCGCGUCAUGCUAGCAAGCCAAGGCUUUAUUAGAAACAUGUUGAAUGUGUGUCCUUUGCUGCUUGUGCAUCCGUCCAUCCAUCCACCUGGCACGGGACAGGUCAAAGGGCAUGCUCCACUAGUAGAAUGGAAGCAUGCUGUUUUGACCUCUCACCUUUGACUCUUGACCUCCACUUUGACUGACAGCGUCCACUUUGAGCUGCAUAGGUUAUAACUUCCAUAUGAACCUUGAUAGACAGGACUUAACUAACCCAGAACAACAACCCUACAUUAGUUCGACAUCAACAAACACCCCCCCCAAGAGUAGCAAAAUCAGGAGCACCUUUCUUUUAAAGUCCUCUUCUUAAAAGACUGUUAGUAUAUUAAUACUCAUGAUUAUAAUGAUCAUUAUUAUGCAGAUGUGUCGGAGACAACAUUUCUAGAGGAGAUCACUAUUUUGCACAUAAACCACUAUCUAGUUUGACAAUGACUGCUCUUACAAGAUAAAAGGCGCUGUCUAGAACCUUAAUUAAAGGGUUAUUCGGCUGUCUCCAUAGGAGAACCCUUUUGGGUUCCACGUAGAACUCUUUCAAUGGAGGGUUCUAAAUGGAACCAAAAAAAGGGUUCUGUCUAGAACCAAAGAGUUCUGCUAUGUGGACAGCCGAAUUAACCCCUUGUGGAAGCAUUUUUUCUAAUAAUAUACACAGAGGCGUUGAGAGGAAAGAGUUUUAAGAAGUUAUGUCUGGAUUUAAAAGAGAGCAUGAAUAAUGACUGUCUGAAAUAGCACCCAUUUCCUUUAUAGUGCACUACGUUUGACCACUGAAGGCCACUGGUCUAAAGUAGUGCCCUUAUGUAGGGAAUAGGGUUCCAUUUGACAAGCAGACUAGGACUCGUUUUCAAGAGGCCUCACUGGCCAGUGAGCAGGUGUCAGUUGGUUGAAUCAGACUAGGACUCGUUUUCAAGAGGCCUCACUGGCCAGUGAGCAGGUGUCAGUUGGUUGAAUCAGACUAGGACUCGUUUUCAAGAGGCCUCACUGGCCAGUGAGCAGGUGUCAGUUGGUUGAAUCAGACUAGGACUCGUUUUCAAGAGGCCUCACUGGCCAGUGAGCAGGUGUCAGUUGGUUGAAGCAGACUAGGACUCCUUUUCAAGAGGCCUCACUGGCCAGUGAGCAGGUGUCAGUUGGUUGAAGCAGACUAGGACUCGUUUUCAAGAGGCCUCACUGGCCAGUGAGCAGGUGUCAGUUGGUUGAAGCAGACUAGGACUCGUUUUCAAGAGGCCUCACUGGCCAGUGAGCAGGUGUCAGUUGGUUGAAGCAGACUAGGACUCCUUUUCAAGAGGCCUCACUGGCCAGUGAGCAGGUGUCAGUUGGUUGAAGCAUGAACAUUUCUCUCCCUCUGUUUCUUCCAGGUCGGGUUAAGAUAAAUAUUGCACCGUUAUACUGUAGCAUUCCACAGUACGGUUCCAGAUUCCACAUGGAGCAAACACAGUAUUUUGAUAUAAAAUAUUCAGACAUAUUAUAUAAUCACUUUAUUGAGGUUUAACUGUUGUUUAACUGUCUUUUCCAACAUAAGUCGUUUUUCUGGUUUGAUUUGACCUUCGUAAAGCCACGUCGGAGAGAGAUUAUUGUUUACCUGGUAUGGAUAACAGAACACCGAGGAUGAGUAGUUGACUAUUGGUGAUGAAGAGGGGUUUGUGUGACUAUCAAAGUCAUAAAUAGUUUGGGGGGUUGGUUAAUGUUGAGUUAAAGACGUUGUUUUAUUGGUCCGCGUCUCACUUUAAGGCAGUAGUAGAACGUUGUACCCAUCAGGUUUAAACAAGUCUGUAAUACAUUUAAAUACUUCAGUAAUACCCUAAAACCACUUUUUGGCAAAGUCGUCUGUCCUUAUUGCGUUUAUAUGUGAAAGAACUAUUCACGAGAAACAACAAAAGUUAUUUUUUUGUGAUAUUAGUAGUGGCACUACUGUUAAAUGUAGUAUUUUAAGAAGAACAAGCACUAUUUAUGGUCAUUAAAAUGAACUAGAAUGUGUAUUGUGCAUUAUGGUAGCUUUGGAGGCAGCCAUCUUGUUUUGUAUCAAUUUCCUCAUGCUCAGAGACAGUCACUCACUUCAUGUAAGGGGUUCAACUAGUUGUUGAGUGGACUUGCCCAAAUCCGAGCUCCCUUUUCUCCUUUGAAUGACAAGUCUGCAUGGUCUCACCAACAGACAUUACCGCCCAUUCCCUCAAAUCUUACUUUUUUAUUUUCUAUAAAGAAAAACAAUUCUAUUACUUUAUUUUUAAUUUCUUGUUUCAUUCUUUCAUUUAAACCAAUUUUUAAAGAGAAAGAAUACAAUAAAUACAAAUCUGAAUAUUCAAUCACUUUUUCUACUUCUAUUUUCAAAAUAACUGAAAAAAAAAACCUAAUAAAAAGUUGAUUUGUAUAUAAGUGAUGUACAGUUUGUAUCUGUUAAUGUCAGUCUGUCUUUGGUGACAGAGUCUGUCUUGCUUAUAACGCACGCUACCAGUAAAUAAAAUAAAAAUAUAUUUAGACUGUACGGUCCUUGAAAGCAAGUUUUAAAUUAAUCUGAUGUAUAUUCCUGUAACAUUGCAUUUUUAUCUGAGGAAUUAUGUUAUUAAAAAAAAUUGCUAAUAAAUUGCAUUUCCUACAGCUCCUUUUUGGAUUCUCUUAUCUAUUCUAGAGGUUUGGGAGGCAUCACAAUGCAGAAGCAUAAGUCCAAUACUUGGAAUAAGUAUAGCCAACAUUUUAAACCAACUAUUUUUUUAAUGGUCCCCCCAAAAAAAUUGUAUUCCACCUGUGGUUACGAUGGUCUUUGUGUUGUCAGUGGGAGAAUUUAGAACCCUGUGUCCCUGUUCAACUGUAUUCCACCUGUGGUUACGAUGGUCUUUGUGUUGUCAGUGGGAGAAUUUAGAACCCUGUGUCCCUG
ensembl:lncRNA